GAUGAACGCUGGCGGCGUGCCUAAUACAUGCAAGUCGAGCGAACGGACUAGAAGCUUGCUUCUCUGAUGUUAGCGGCGGACGGGUGAGUAACACGUUGAUUACCUACCUAUAAGACUGGGUUAACUUCGGGAAACCUGAGCUAAUACCGGAUAAUAUUUUGAACCGCAUGGUUCAAAAGUGAAAGACGGUCUUGCUGUCACUUAUAGAUGUAUCCGCGCUGCAUUAGCUAGUUGGUAAUGUAACGGCUUACCAAGGCAACGAUGCAUAGCCGACCUGAGAGGGUGAACGGCCAGACUGGAAGUGAGACACGGUACAGACUCCUACGGGAGGCAGCAGUAGGGAAUCUUCCGCAAGGGGGGAAAGCCUGACGGAGCAAAGCCGCGGGAGGGAUGAAGGUCUUAGGAUCGUAAAACUAUGUUAUUAGGGAAGAACAUAAGUGUAAGUAACUGUGAACAUAUUGACGGUACCGAAGCAGAAAGCCACGGCUAACUACGUG
rnacentral:rRNA from 1 species